CCGUCUCCUACCGCGGGAGACGGUGAAAACCUAGAUCGGCGUGGAGCCAUGGACGACCCCCAAUCCUCCCCGCCCCUCUCCUCCCCAAUGGCGAUCUCCUUCUCACCCAUCAGAUCUCACCUCUGCUCCAGCCCCGCGUGAGGCCGGUGCGCAACAGAUCACGGGUUGGCGGUGGACGAAUCUCCUCCUCCCGUCCCCCAAUCCCUGCUCCUCUUCCUCUCAUCCAAUCUGCGGCCUUCCUCCUUCUCGCGCGGCGGCGCGUCUGGAGGAACCGGCCAGACAAGGAGCGGCCAGCCCGAGCGACGGCGGCGGCGACUGAGGCGCCGGGCACGGCCGGAGACGGGUUGGCGCGGGGUGGAUCUGCUCCGGCGACGACCGGAGGCGACGGGCUCGCGCGGGGCGGAUCUGCGGCGGUGGCGACCGGAGGCGUCGGGCGCGGCCGAAGACGGGCCAGCGCGGGGCGGAUCCGCUCCGGCGACGACCGGGGGCGACGGCCAGCCGGAGGUGUAGGAGCAGCGAGGGGCGGCGCUGGGACGGUGGUGGAGGAGCAGCGACGAGCGCGCCGGCCAUGCCGCCGCUCGCCGGAGCACAUCAGCAUCUCGUCGCUCGUAAAUAUUACUUCCCCAUGUUAUGCUUGACAUGGCCUGUCGAAGUUGCAAGUGGUGACUGGUGAGCAAGAGCAAAGUCGCUACCUCACUUGAAGAGCUCUCACCUGUCACCGAGAGGCCUCAUCCAAAUUGCUACACAUCAACUUCUUUGGACUCGCCAAGUCAAGCAUGUUUUGAUAGCAGGCGGCACCCCUCUUGGAAAAUCUGAGGGUUAUUAGGUCAUCUGAGACCUGAAUUAUAAGCACAGUCAUGUAUUUGUGACAAUUAUUAGAAGCGAAUGGUCGAGAAAUUGGAUGUGAGGGUGGCCCUGGUGUGGGAGGCGGCGCGGCCUCGGCAGAAGGACCAGACGGAGUCCAGUGUGGAAUGUUGCUGUUCAAGGUUGGUUACCACAUCAACUAAGUUGUGUUCUCCUUUAAGCUCUCGAUCUCUUGACGGCGCUGCUAAUACUGGUGACAUGGUUUGAAAUAGGGAAUCUUGGGUAAUGAUUUGAUUACCAAAGAUUUCGAUUUGCUGUGAAUGGCAUAAUUAUUUGAGCACGGAAGACAACAAAGGUGCAUGGUCUCAUGAAGAGGGCAUUCUUUUAUGUGAGGCUUGGUACAGACGUCUUGUCAACCCUGCUGUCUGCGCUCCUCAACUGAAUGUCGGCGUGGACGCUGGCACAUUCCCGAGGGUGCAUUUGAGCAGUGACGGUCAACUUGCCGAUUCAGUACGUUGGUGAUCUAAUACUAGGUGUUGACCAUGAGGAUUUCACGUAUGUUUUUACCAUCUUUUGUUCAACCUUUUGAGCCUUUGAUUUUAGCAUGUAGCUCCUGGUGAAGGAAGAAAUAACUGAUGGUAAGAACCAGCAGGCCAGAACAUGUGUCAAUUUACGAGUAGUUUAUUUUUUCAAAGAAAUAGGAGUAGUGCGGUUUGGCUCUCAUAACUUGUUAUGUUACAGUUUGGAAGAACCGAAGUAAAAAGAUUGUGGGAUUAGGUAUGUAGCAUCGUUGUGUUUGGCAUUGGAAUUGGAGAAGAGAUUCUUUUAUAUAAAUUAUUUUCCGGCAAUCUCUAUGCAUUUUAUCCAUGCAGAUACAAUUUAUUGGGGUUACAUUAUGUAGAUCCAUGAAUUUCUAGCAUACAUGGUGUCAUAAGUUGUGCAAUAUUUUUGCCUUAUUCAUGUGUAAUAGUUUUUAGCUUCACUUGUAUAAGUAUGUGAAAGACAAAUAAGGUAUUGCCAUGUACUUGUUUAACCUAGAAGCAUGCCAAUAUCUAAUGAAUCAAGGGGAGUUAGUUUAACACUUUACUCAGAAGAUAUUACAGUUAUUAUCUUUAUAUUAUACUUCAGCUCCCAAGUCCUAAUUAUUCCUUCUCUAGGAAUAUUAGAAGGUUGCUGCAGAUCGGUACUGAAAUCCAGGCUGCCCGGUUUUCUUCUUGGACUUGCACAAGCUCCCUCUGACGAAAGCAGUUAGAUACUUGAACAAGAGAAGCUAUUUUGGCAUCCCCUGAUUACUACCUACACUCCUGUACUAGACAAGGAUGAGGAUAUCUAAUACUCCGUAUAUGAAGUCAUAAAUCAGGGAUAUAUGUAAAUCAGGUAUGACGCUUGGUUCAUGCUGGGCGAUGGAGAAUCACUGCUGAAGGUGAUAUUGAAGGCAUCAUCAUGGCAGGUCCUACGCUCUAGAAGCUCUCAAACAAUGCAGCAUACAUGUAAUGUAAUCGUCAGGAAAAAAGAAGAACUACGGUCCCCAUACAGGCUGUCAAUUUACUAUCGGUGCCUAUGUGUUUUAUUUCUUGCUGAUCAUUACCAUGUAUUCACUUACUGACGCAUGGUUUCAAUUCCGGCUUGGAUUCGGGAUUCACGCCAGUGGCGAUGCGGGUCAGUAGAGAUAUUUUGCUUCAUCGAUAUUCAAGAUCGAUGGUAUAUUUAUGCUAUGUUGUGCUCCCUUUGUUCUAUCAAAUAUGCAAUUUUGUCUCGACAAGACUAAUUU